rnacentral:rRNA from 1 species
GAUGAACGCUGGCGGCGUGCCUUAGGCAUGCAAGUGGAACGGGCUGACUUCGGUCAGCUAGUCGCGAACGGCUGAGUAACACGUAGGAAUCUACCUCUUGGUGGGGAAUAACUAACUGAAAGGUUAGCUAAUACCGCAUAAGAUCUUUGAUGAAAGGGCAUAACUGCUCGCCGAGAGAGGAGCCUGCGGCCUAUCAGCUUGUUGGUGAGGUAAUGGCUCACCAAGGCUACGACGGGUAGGGGGCGUGAGAGCGUGUACCCCCAGAAUGGCACUGAGAAACGGGCCAUACACCUNACGGGUGGCAGCAACCGGGAAUUGUGCGCAAUGGACGAAAGUCUGACGCCGCGACGCCGCGUGAGGGACGAAGGCCUUUGGGUUGUAAACCUCUUUUGCCAGAAGGAGACCGACUGGAGAAUAAGCACCCGCUAA